GCGCAGCAGGCGAGAAUCCUCCGCAAUGCGCGAAAGCGCGACGGGGUUACCCCGAGUGCCGUCCGCUGAGGACGGCUUUUGCCCAGUGUAGCCAGCUGGGCGAAUAAGGAGAGGGCAAGUCUGGCGUCAGCCGCCGCGGUAAUACCAGCUCUCCGAGUGGUGGGGACGCUUAUUGGGCCUAAAGCAUCCGUAGCCGGUCUGGCAAGUCCCUUGUUAAAUCCAACGAUUCAAUCGUUGGACUGCAAGGGGAUACUGCCAGACUAGGGGGCGGGAGAGGCCGACGGUAUUCCCGGGGUAGGGGUGAAAUCCUAUAAUCCCGGGAGGACCACCAGUGGCGAAGGCUGUCGGCUAGAACGCGCCCGACGGUGAGGGAUGAAAGCUGGGGGAGCGAACCGGAUUAGAUACCCCUGUUAGU
rnacentral:rRNA from 1 species